CCAACGGCUCUUUUAAGAGCCACCCAACCUUUCACGAAAAGAGCUG
rfam:Anas platyrhynchos breed Pekin duck contig23323, whole genome shotgun sequence.